UUCCGGUUGAUCCUGCCGGACCCGACUGCUAUCGGAUUGAGAUUUAGCCAUGCGAGUCGAACGUUCCUUGAUUGCAGGGGGCGUGGCGUACGGCUCAGUAACACGUAGUCAACCUGCCCUGAAGACAUGGAUAACCCCGGGAAACUGGGACUAAUACGUGAUAGGUCACCUCAUCUGGAAGGAGAGAUGGCUUAAAUGGACGCGUGAGCUUAUUUCACGUGAAACGCUUCAGGAUGGGACUGCGACUGAUCAGGCUGUUGGCGGGGUAAUGGCCCACCAAACCAAUAACCAGUACGGGCCUUGAGAGAGGGGGCCCGGAGAUGGACACUGAAAGAAGGGUCCAGGUCCUACGGGGCGCAGCAGGCGCGAAACCUUCGCAAUGCGCGAAAGCGUGACGAGGUUAAUCCGAGUGGUUCCCGCUGAGGGAAUCUUUUGUCGGCUGUAAAAAGGCCGGUGAAUAAGGGGAGGGCAAGUCUGGUGUCAGCCCGCCGCGGUAAUACCAGCUCCUCGAGUGGUCGGGGCGAUUAUUGGGCCUAAAGCAUUCCGUAGCCGGUUCUUGUAGGUCCUCUGUUAAAUCCAACGGCUUAACCGUCGGCCCGCAAGAAGGAUACCCGCAAGGACUAGGAGGCGGGAAGAGGCARACSGKACUCUACGUGUAGGGGUAAAAUCCUUUGAUCCGUAGAAGACCACCAGUGGCGAAGGCGGUCUGCCAGAACGCGCUCGACGGUGAGGGAUGAAAGCUGGGGGAGCGAACCGGAUUAGAUACCCGGGUAGUCCCAGCCGUAAACGAUGCGAGCUAGAUGAUUCAGUCGCAAAUCGCGAUUGAAGUGUCGCAGGGAAGCCGUUAAGCUCGCCGCCUGGGGAGUACGGUCGCAAGACUGAAACUUAAAGGAAUUGGCGGG
rnacentral:rRNA from 1 species